rnacentral:rRNA from 1 species
UACGUAGGGGGCAAGCGUUGUCGGGAAUCAUUGGGCGUAAAGCGCGCGUAGGCGGCCCGGUAAGUCCGUUGUGAAAGUCAAAGGCUCAACCUUUGAACGCCGAUGGAUACUGCCGGGCUAGAGUCCGGAAGAGGCGAGUGGAAUUCCCGGUGUAGCGGUGAAAUGCGCAGAUAUCGGGAGGAACACCAAUGGCGAAGGCAGCUCGCUGGGACGGUACUGACGCUGAGGCGCGAAAGCGUGGGGAGCAAACAGG